GCAUGAUUAGCGGCGCGAUUCGCCCUUAGAGUUUGAUCAUGGCUCAGGAUGAACGCUGGCGGUAUGCUUAACACAUGCAAGUCGAACGGAUUCUUAGGAAUCAGUGGCGGACGGGUGAGUAACACGUGAAAACCUGCCUCUAGGACGGGGAUAACAGAGGGAAACUUCUGCUAAUUCCCGAUGAGCCCACGGGUAAAAGGAUUUAUCGCCUAGAGAGGGGUUCGCGUCCGAUUAGCUAGUUGGUGGGGUAAAGGCUCACCAAGGCUGCGAUCGGUAGCUGUUCUGAGAGGAAGAACAGCCACACUGGGACUGAGACACGGCCCAGACUCCUACGGGAGGCAGCAGUGGGGAAUUUUCCGCAAUGGGCGAAAGCCUGACGGAGCAAUACCGCGUGAGGGAAGAAGGUCCUUGGAUCGUAAACCUCUUUUCUCAGGGAAGAAGUUCUGACGGUACCUGAGGAAUAAGCCCCGGCUAACUCCGUGCCAGCAGCCGCGGUAAUACGGAGGAGGCAAGCGUUAUCCGGAAUUAUUGGGCGUAAAGCGUUCGCAGGUGGCUGUUCAAGUCUGCUGUCAAAGACCGGAGCUUAACUCCGGAAAGGCGGUGGAAACUGAAGAGCUAGAGUGCGGUAGGGGUAGAGGGAAUUCCCAGUGUAGCGGUGAAAUGCGUAGAGAUUGGGAAGAACACCGGUGGCGAAAGCGCUCUACUAGGCCGCAACUGACACUCAGGGACGAAAGCUAGGGGAGCGAAUGGGAUUAGAUACCCCAGUAGUCCUAGCUGUAAACGAUGGGUACUAGGCGUAGCUUGUAUCGACCCGAGCUGUGCCGAAGCUAACGCGUUAAGUACCCCGCCUGGGGAGUACGCACGCAAGUGUGAACUCAAAGGAAUUGACGGGGCCGCACAAGCGGUGGAGUAUGUGGUUUAAUUCGAUGCACGCGAGACCUUACAGGCUGACAUCCGGCGAUCUCUGGAACAGAAAGUGCUACGGAGCCGUGACAGUGG
rnacentral:rRNA from 1 species